rnacentral:rRNA from 1 species
UGAGGAAUAUUGGUCAAUGGGCGAGAGCCUGAACCAGCCAAGUAGCGUGCAGGAUGACGGCCCUAUGGGUUGUAAACUGCUUUUAUAAGGGAAUAAAGUGAGAGUCGUGACUCUUUUUACAUGUACCUUAUGAAUAAGGACCGGCUAAUUCCGUGCCAGCAGCCGCGGUAAUACGGAAGGUCCGGGCGUUAUCCGGAUUUAUUGGGUUUAAAGGGAGCGUAGGCCGGAGAUUAAGCGUGUUGUGAAAUGUAGACGCUCAACGUCUGCACUGCAGCGCGAACUGGUUUCCUUGAGUACGCACAAAGUGGGCGGAAUUCGUGGUGUAGCGGUGAAAUGCUUAGAUAUCACGAAGAACUCCGAUUGCGAAGGCAGCUCACUGGAGCGCAACUGACGCUGAAGCUCGAAAGUGCGGGUAUCGAACAGGAUUAGAUACCCUGGUAGUCCGCACGGUAAACGAUGGAUGCCCGCUGUUGGUCUGAACAGGUCAGCGGCCAAGCGAAAGCAUUAAGCAUCCCACCUGGGGAGUACGCCGGCAACGGUGAAACUCAAAGGAAUUGACGGGGGCCCGCACAAGCGGAGGAACAUGUGGUUUAAUUCGAUGAUACGCGAGGAACCUUACCCGGGCUUGAAUUGCAGAGGAAGGAUUUGGAGACAAUGACGCCCUUCGGGGCCUCUGUGAAGGUGCUGCAUGGUUGUCGUCAGCUCGUGCCGUGAGGUGUCGGCUUAAGUGCCAUAACGAGCGCAACCCCUCUCCUUAGUUGCCAUCAGGUUAAGCUGGGCACUCUGGGGACACUGCCACCGUAAGGUGUGAGGAAGGUGGGGAUGACGUCAAAUCAGCACGGCCCUUACGUCCGGGGCUACACACGUGUUACAAUGGCAGGUACAGAGAGACGGUCCCUUGCAAAAUGGAUCAAAUCCUUAAAGCCUGUCUCAGUUCGGACUGGGGUCUGCAACCCGACCCCACGAAGCUGGAUUCGCUAGUAAUCGCGCAUCAGCCAUGGCGCGGUGAAUACGUUCCC